ACCGAUUGUGAAAUUUCUCAUUUUCACUAAAACCCUAGUCCUUUUUACAAACACAAAAAUCACUUUUUCUGCCUCCUCCGUUCUUCAUCGCCGAAUCCGCUCUUCAUCACCGAGGCCGACCGUUCUUCAUCACCGAAUCCGACCGUUCUUCAUCACCAACCUCCUCUGUUCUUCAUCGCCAACCUCCUCCCUUCGACCGCAACGACCGUCACGACGAUACUCUCUGUGGUCGUCACCACCACCCGCGACUGCAACGACCUCCGUUCUUCUUCAUUUUCUGCAUGCAAGUAACCACAAACUCUAGCAGUGGUGAACUGAACUUCAACAAUCAUUCACAGAUCUUCAAACCGUAUGCUUCCAAUUCUUUACUACUUCUUGGUUCUUCUUUUACAAUCUUGAAAUACUCGACUCCAACACUAAGCAAAUCAAAGACCCCAUUUCCAAAUCCAAACAAGCCGGCACUGUCAUCCGCCUUGGACCAGAGAUCGAGAUUUCCGGUUAUGGCUGCGAUGAACAUUUCUUAGAACUCGACACCGUUAACCACCAAUGGGAAUGUUUGAAGGAUAUAUUAGUUGGUGAUUAGACUGAUGUCAUAGUGUGCAGUAUUGGAAUGCCUAUUAUCAAAGGUUCUGAGAGAUAUAACUGUCAGGUUUUGUGUUUUAACCGAAAGAUUAUUAUGGUAAGACCCAAAAUGUGGCUUGCAAAUGAUGGUAAUUAUCAAGAACUUCAAUGGUUUAUUGCUUGGAAACAAAGGGAACAACUUGAUGAUUUUCAGCUUCCUCUUCAUUUCUCCGAGACAUUGGGCCAAAAAUCAGUUCCUUUUGGUUACGGCUUUGUUAAGUUUCAAGAUACAACUAUUGCGACUGAAGUUUGCGAAGAGCUUUUUACUCCAUCUCCCCCUCAUGUCAAGCCUGUGUUAAAUGGGGUUGAAGUGUUUAUGAAUGCAAGUGGAAGUCACCACCAACUUAGAAAGCUUGAGGUUCGUCUUCGUGCUUUUAUAGGCGCCACUCAUACUCGUGGAUGGGUCUAUAUGUAUAGUAAUCACCAAGGUUGUGAUGGUGAUCGCCUUUACUAUGGGCUAUGUUGGAAAUAAAUCAGUUGUUUUUCCUCUACAACUUUUGGUCUUUGAUGUGGAUCCAAUUUAUUCUAUAAAGUUUUCUAAUCAUAUGGGUAAGUAUCUUUUAUUUUCAUUAAACCAAAGCAAAGUAACGCAUUCUGUAGGGUGGCUUACUGAGUACUUAAGGGUGGCUUACUGAGUACUUAAGGGUGGCUUAUUGAUCCUUUCCAAAUUUUUACAUAGAAUAUACAAUGGAAAAUGUACCCGACCUUGAAGCAACUGAAUGAUGGUUUACUGAGUACUUAAAUGAUGCUAACAUGUAAUUCAGUCCUGAAGAUUUGUAUGCUUCUUCCAACCGCCAAUUUUUAUUUCCUUUACGGUUGGUUGGUUACAGAAUAAUCUGAUAAUUUUGUUAUUUGAAACAAGAAUUUCUUAGGAGCAGAUGAUGUGCAUAUUGAUGUUGCAGGUAGAUUGCAUUGUUUUCUUUGAUCAUUGUCAUUCUCGACUGUUUCUAAUGUGGAUUGAAUUUUAUUCAUAAAAAUUUCAUCCUCCUGCUGAGUUAUGUAACAUCACACUAUCGCAAGAACAAAAUGGUUCCACCGAAUGUCACCGGAGUCUCUAAAAAUGUUGUAUUCAAAGAUAAGAAAUCUUUUAUAAGGACACCGACAAAGUUGGCUUCUACUGUGGCAUAUCCAUUUGCCUUCAUUAAACCAAGUGGUGCCCAUGGAGAUGUUACUCUGAAGGAAAUCAAUCAGCGCAUUCUGACCCCUCCUUCGAAAUCAAAGCAAAGCAGUGACGAAUUUGCUUACCCUAAAUCUGCCUUCUCAAGAAAGCCAGUGGUUGGUAAGACAAAAAGAUGCACCGAAGGAGGAAAGGGCAGCAUCACAAUUAUGAGAACCAAAGGCUAAGUUAAGUGGUAUCCAUCAUUCAAGGGCCAAGUUUUAAAUGGACAGCAACUCUGGGAACUGAUUGAAGGUCUUGAAGCUAAUUAUUUAUUGUACUACACUCACUCACUUAUUAACAUGUACUAUUAUUUAUGAUGUCAAAGAGAUUAAUGUAUGUAUAAUUUAAUUGUGAACUGUAUGUAUGCCACGUUUCCUCACGAAGUGAAAUGAAAAUUGUAUCCAUAUUUGAAAACUAUAAAAUAAGUUUAUUUAUUUCAUUGUUAUUGUUAUUUAUUGUAGUUUUAAUUUUGAAAUUACCAUUAGUGUUGACCAAUCCGCCACAAAAAACCGCAAACAU